UUAUGUCGUUCUUUCGAGACUCGUAUAAUGCCGGGGAUGUGGCCCGACAGUCUCUACCGGAUGACCGGGAAUCAUCCGACUACGAGGUCGGUCAAUUUGUGU
rnacentral:ncRNA from 2 species